CCAUCUUGCUGCUGGUGGAGCACGACGUGGGGGGAAGCUAAGGCCACAAGGACAGGCUGCUGCCGGCCUUCUUGGGGCCGGUCACCACCUGGGGCCUAGGCUGCACCUACUGCCUGCAGUACCUCUGUCCAUGGGGAAAGAAGAUUCGUUUUCCCCAGACAGGCUUAAAAAAAGGCAAAGCUGGGUAUUUCUUUUCCCCUCCUCAGCGUGCUUGGAAGUCUCUCCCACUAUGGCUUCAACAAAGACAGAUCCUUAUCCCUUCACAUUCCAGGUUUUUUGUGCGGGACCCAAACUGUAGAAAGCAGUGUGUGGUUCUUUCUUUCUUCAUAGAUAGUUCACCAAGGAUCAGAUCAUCUGGGGAUGUAUAUUCCAGCAGAGAAACAUACUUUGAUGUCCAUUUAAGCCACAUAGAGCAGUUUGCAGCGGCGAGGAGCGGGGGGCCGGCGGGCGGCCAAACCCCAUGGCCGGCGAUGGGCGAUCGGCGCUGCUGCUGUUGCUACUGCUUCCUCCGCUGCCCGCGGAGCCGCUCCGGGCACCCCGUCCCUCCCCUUCCCUCCCUCCCUCUCUCCCGGCCUUCUGCCCGCUCAUAUAGCGCGCCCCCAGCCAGCCAGCCAGCCACGUGGACGGCGCGGGGCCCCCGCGGCUCCUCCUCGGAGCUGGGCAGGGCGAUACCGGGGCGGCUCCCACCGGCAGCCGCCGUCUGCGGGCUGUGCGCGGGGCUCCACUGUCCGGUGGGCGCCCAUAUCACCCCCUUCCGCACCCGACGUUCACUACCUGCUCCCCGGAUCAGCACCCUGAAGUGCCUUCCGUCCACCCCCAUCGCUGGGACACCGAGAUUGCGCUCGUAGGGAUCCCAAAGGUGAUGGCAGCGGGAAGAAUUGGAAGGAAAUUCAGUGCUUCUCAGGGGUGAAAGUGUGUUUUGCGUCGUUAAUAAUAAAAAAGUGCACGUCAUAAAUAAUAUCUUCGUUGCGUCCCGCAUCUGACAUUUUUAAGAUUGCUAUAAAAUGCUGUCGAAUUAAAAAGCGUCAUUAAAGGAACCCCCAGACAGAUACAUUCAGCUGAUGAAGUGUCUGCUCUAACUAUUUAACAACAUAAUGCCGGCUUUUUUAGUGUUGGUGUGCGAGGGUUGGAGCCCAGCCGAGAAGCGCGGAGGUUAUAGCACCUCCAGGAAAGCAAAUGCUGCUCUGCUCCUCUCCCUGGUCCCGGUGGGGGCCAUAGAAGAUACACAUCCACAGCAUGUGUCAGGGGCGAGCUCUGAAGGAUGCUGGGCAGCUGGGGAAUAAGUAGCUCUGUGAAGCAUAUGAGUUUACAGUUAUUAAUCUAUUUACCCAAACUGCCCACGUUGUUGGUUUAUUGCAUCCAGCACAACUGACUUCCACUGGAAGCUGUAAGGCGCUACGUAGGAGCUGUAAGUCAUCAAUCACUGCCGAGCUCAUUUCCAUACUUGCAUUAGUUAAAGGCGUGAAGUGUGAUUGCAGACCGGUGCCACAUUGCAUACCACUCUGCAGAUAUUUGCAUUGGGGUUUAAGCACCUGCAGCAGGCUGAGCAUGGAGCAUGGACCCACAGAUCCAUAAACUGGCUCAUAAACCCAUAGGGGGACUCCCCCAUCCCAACUCUGCCCCUGGAUGCUACAGAGCAACAUCGUGUUGUGUCCUUCCUAAGUGGGGUGUGGAAGAAGUUAAAUCAAAAGUAAAGAGGGUGAAAGAAAAUACUUUGUUUAAAAAAUUAUUUUACACAGAGUAUAUUAAGGCAAAUAAUUGCUGCUGGGGAGAAGCAGAGUAUUAAAUAGCUGUUUUCCCAAGAGCUGCUGGGGGUGGGAUAGCUCCUGAAGGAGCUCUGUGUGAUCAACCAUGACAGCUUCUGUACCCUUCCUUUGCCUUGGAGCAAAGUGGUUGAGUUUUCUGCUUCAUUUGCUUCCUGAUGACUGUGGGUAAGUGGGUCUGUCUGUGAGGAAGUCUCUGGCAAUGGCUUGCCAGCUAUCGGGCUGUACAGCAGCCUUCGGGAUCCCACCUAAAAAAUUGUUGAGGUUAU
rnacentral:lncRNA from 1 species